AUCCAGCUGACGAGUCCAAAACAGGACGAAACGCGUGUCAUGGAU
rnacentral:hammerhead_ribozyme from 1 species